rfam:Psychrobacillus sp. FJAT-21963 super5, whole genome shotgun sequence.
UAGAGAGGAAGGAAGGCUAAGGCCGCCUCUUCCUGAGGCAACGCCUUCAUGACCAACAUCGUGUUGG